rnacentral:rRNA from 1 species
CGCGGCGGGCGGGGCGGGGGCACGGGGGGCCUACGGGAGGCAGCAGUGGGGAAUAUUGGACAAUGGGCGAAAGCCUGAUCCAGCCAUGCCGCGUGAGUGAUGAAGGCCCUAGGGUUGUAAAGCUCUUUCAGCGGGGAAGAUAAUGACGGUACCCGCAGAAGAAGCCCCGGCUAACUUCGUGCCAGCACCCGCGG